UAUGGCCACACCACGUUAAAGCACCAGUUCCCGUACGAUCACUGAAGUUAAGCAACGUCGCACUUGGUCAGUACUUAGAUAAUCACUUAGGAAUACCAGGAUG